CCUACGGGAGGCAGCAGUGAGGAAUAUUGGUCAAUGGGCGGAAGCCUGAACCAGCCAAGUAGCGUGCAGGAUGACGGCCCUACGGGUUGUAAACUGCUUUUAUACGGGAAUAACGCGCCUUACGUGUAGGGCUUUGCAUGUACCGUAUGAAUAAGGACCGGCUAAUUCCGUGCCAGCAGCCGCGGUAAUACGGAAGGUCCGGGCGUUAUCCGGAUUUAUUGGGUUUAAAGUGAGCGUAGGCCGCAUGUCAAGCGUGCUGUGAAAUGUCCGGGCUCAACCUCGCCGAGCCGUUGAAACUGCUCUUCUAGAGUGGGCGAGAAGUAUGCGGAAUGCGUGGUGUAGCGGUGAAAUGCAUAGAUAUCACGCAGAACUCCGAUUGCGAAGGCAGCAUACCGGCGCCCAACUGACGCUCAUGCACGAAAGCGUGGGUAUCGAACAGGAUUAGAUACCCCUGUAGUC
rnacentral:rRNA from 1 species